rnacentral:lncRNA from 1 species
CUUGAGAAAUACUUUCUCUGAAUUCUUUGUAAGAAUACCAAGUACCUUUCUAAAGGAUAGGAGAUCUCACUAGAUCUACGAGGUGGAGGAAGUACAAUAUAUACUGGCUCAUCUUAAAUAGGUUGUACAGGUCCUGUGACUCAUUGUUCUUAAGAGAUUUUUUUUUGAUUUCAUCCUCUCACUAUUUUCAAGAAAGCAGUAUGAUUGCUCACAAUCACAUUGUGAACUAUUGGGAAGAG